GGAGUUAGCCGGUGCUUCUUCUGUGAGUGAUGUCCUUCCUGCCGGUUAUUGACCCGCAGGCCUUCUUCCUCACUGAAAGUGCUUUACAACCCGAAGGCCUUCUUCACACACGCGGCAUGGAUGGAUCAGGGUUGCCCCCAUUGUCCAAUAUUCCCCACUGCUGCCUCCCGUAGGAGUCUGGGCCGUGUCUCAGUCCCAGUGUGGCUGAUCAUCCUCUCAGACCAGCUACGGAUCGUCGCCUUGGUGAGCCGUUACCUCACCAACCAGCUAAUCCGACAUAGGCUCAUCCGAUAGCGCGAGGCCCGAAGGUCCCCCGCUUUCCCCCGUAGGGCGUAUGCGGUAUUAGCCUGGGUUUCCCCAGGUUAUCCCCCACUACCGGGCAGAUUCCUAUGCAUUACUCACCCGUCCGCCGCUCGCCACCAGGGAGCAAGCUCCCCGUGCUGCCGCUCGACUUGCAUGUGUUAGGCCGUGCCGCCACGCGUUCAAUCUGAGCCAUAAUCAACUACUGA
rnacentral:rRNA from 1 species